rnacentral:rRNA from 1 species
CAAAAACCCAAUGUGAACCAUACCAAACUGUUGCCUCGGCGGGGUCACGCCCCGGGUGCGUCGCAGCCCCGGAACCAGGCGCCCGCCGGAGGGACCAACCAAACUCUUUUCUGUAGUCCCCUCGCGGACGUUAUUUCUUACAGCUCUGAGCAAAAAUUCAAAAUGAAUCAAAACUUUCAACAACGGAUCUCUUGGUUCUGGCAUCGAUGAAGAACGCAGCGAAAUGCGAUAAGUAAUGUGAAUUGCAGAAUUCAGUGAAUCAUCGAAUCUUUGAACGCACAUUGCGCCCGCCAGUAUUCUGGCGGGCAUGCCUGUCCGAGCGUCAUUUCAACCCUCGAACCCCUCCGGGGGGUCGGCGUUGGGGACCUCGGGAGCCCCUAAGACGGGAUCCCGGCCCCGAAAUACAGUGGCGGUCUCGCCGCAGCCUCUCCUGCGCAGUAGUUUGCACAACUCGCACCGGGAGCGCGGCGCGUCCACCUCCGUAAAACACCCAACUUUCUGAAAUGUUGACCUCGGAUCGGGUAGGAAUACCCGCUGAACUUAAGCAUAUCAGUAACGC